UUGAACGCUGGCGGCAUGCCUUACACAUGCAAGUCGAACGGUAACAGGUCUUCGGAUGCUGACGAGUGGCGAACGGGUGAGUAAUACAUCGGAACGUGCCCGAUCGUGGGGGAUAACGAAGCGAAAGCUUUGCUAAUACCGCAUACGAUCUACGGAUGAAAGCAGGGGACCGCAAGGCCUUGCGCGAACGGAGCGGCCGAUGGCAGAUUAGGUAGUUGGUGGGAUAAAAGCUUACCAAGCCGACGAUCUGUAGCUGGUCUGAGAGGACGACCAGCCACACUGGGACUGAGACACGGCCCAGACUCCUACGGGAGGCAGCAGUGGGGAAUUUUGGACAAUGGGCGAAAGCCUGAUCCAGCCAUGCCGCGUGCAGGAUGAAGGCCUUCGGGUUGUAAACUGCUUUUGUACGGAACGAAAAGACUCUGGUUAAUACCUGGGGUCCAUGACGGUACCGUAAGAAUAAGCACCGGCUAACUACGU
rnacentral:rRNA from 1 species